UACGAAGGGGGCUAGCGUUGCUCGGAAUCACUGGGCGGAAAGCGCACGUAGGCGGACUCUUAAGUCGGUGGUGAAAUCCUGGAGCUCAACUCCAGAACUGCCUUCGAUACUGAGAGUCUCGAGUCCGAGAGAGGUGAGUGGAACUGCGAGUGUAGAGGUGAAAUUCGUAGAUAUUCGGAAGAACACCAGUGGCGAAGGCGGCUCACUGGUCCGGUACUGACGCUGAGGUGCGAAAGCGUGGGGAUCAAACAGG
rnacentral:rRNA from 1 species